rnacentral:rRNA from 1 species
ACGAGCUCUCCAAACGUUAUUCGGUAUUACUGGGCUUAAAGAGUUCGUAGGCGGCUUUGUAGGUGAGAUGUGAAAGCCCUCGGCUUAACCGAGGAACUGCGUUUCAAACCACAGGGCUUGAGGGAGAUAGGGGUAAGCGGAACAGAUGGUGGAGCGGUGAAAUGCAUUGAUAUCAUCUGGAACACCGGUGGCGAAGGCGGCUUACUGGGUCUUUUCUGACGCUGAGGAACGAAAGCUAGGGUAGCGAACGGGAUUAGAUACCCCGGUAGUCCUAGCCGUAAACGAUGAGCACUAGUCUGAGGGACUCUCACAGUUUCUCGGACGUAGCGAAAGUGUUAAGUGCUCCGCCUGGGGAGUAUGGUCGCAAGGCUG